GAGCAAUUUGACCUUCUCUAGACCCUAUCCAGAGACAUCUCUAUUCUUACACGUGUAUUAUUGGCAAAUGUUUUGAAUUUUUGAGUUUGUAGAGGAAAAUGUUCAACAUCUCAGGGAUUCUUGAGCCAUGGCAGACUGCUUUCCACCCACCACUGAGUAGGUUACCAGACAAUACUUAAUGUUUAGGUAUCAAAUAAGUCGAAACUAUCUCUGGACCUUAACGUGCACUGAAUUAAUUACAUUGCUCCUCUUUGCCUUUUCGUUAUUCUGUUUAUUAUAAGGCAAAGCUUGCUGGUGGGGCAGUGYGUAAGUGGAAAAUUUCCAAGGAACAUCACUCACGGAGCAUUGGAAGAAGAAUUUCAGCACUGAUGCUCCUCUAGGACAUCAGAAUCCAAAGGCAUUGCUGGCAUUCAUCUUUUGGGUGAAACUAUGGCUAGAGCUGUCUCAAAACAAAGAAUGCAGCAAGGCUCUGCAGGAGGUUGUAUGUAGCAGAGUGGAGGGAGGUGGAUGUGUCCUGCCUGGAUGCAUCCUGCCUUGCAGCCAACCCACGCAAGAGGAAGAGCUGACUUUUUUGGGGCCUUUUGGCAAAAGAAACAACUGUGUUAAGUCUUACCCAUUCUGAAACACUUUGUUUGGAUUUAAGAUAAAAUACAAACUGAUAUUGCGGCGAUGGGUCGGAAGUGCAGGCUGAGCUUGGACAAAUCCUUGGGCUCUGUUGUUCAUUGGUGGCUGCUGUGAGACUGGGACAGCCACGAGCAGAAGCCAUGGAAACCUGUAGUCUGUACUGGAAAAUAAAUGACUGGAAACGUUCCUCGGUGACUAACUUGCUACAAGACAUUAUUAUUUCAAGUGGGUGAAGUUGAGCCGGGACUGUCGGUGCCGUCAUUCAACGAGGACAGCGAUUCGCGGCUACUUUUUCAGACGAGCUAAAUUGAUCAGACAAGUCAGUCAAUGUCAUUGAGCACUAUUUGUCACUUCAUAAGCAGCUACAAUCUGCUGCUCUAUAAAUGCAGAAGGACCGUCGAAUAAAUCACAUCAACCRGUGGGAGUAGAUAGUGUCCCUUCAUCCAUAAUUGGAGCGGUCCUCUCCUGUCACAUCCGCUCAUUCGCCGCGAUUCCGGCRCGGAUUGACACUGACGAAGAAAGAGCAGCCGCUGUCACAGGAGCUGGAGUCUGUCUGCUGCUCUGCUCUCCCCACUAAUAGAUAUCCAUCAUAAUAUUGUAUUAACAUCACAAAAAAUCAGACUUAUAGCUCCGCUACCCGCGUGUAUCGAUGACAUAUGUAGGGGUUUCUUCUGGGCUGCGGGRAAGGCUGAUUGAUGCAAAGGGAAAGCUCGUGAUUAAAACCGCUUUCCAAAGCCAUCAGCCACAGGAAUAUUUACUGCUGUGUGUGGUGCUGAUUUCACAGACAAAAGUAUAAUUUAUAAUAUAUAUAAAGAAAAAAAAAAUUAGGAUAGGGGGAGCACGGUUUGUUGUAAACAGACCUUCUGGAAAUCUGUUAUUUGCUGGUGCAGGAUAUGUUAUGGAAUUAUUCCUAUUAAGUGGUUUUAUGGUUAUAUAGUUACCUAAGUAAUUAAGGAAGUGAAACACCUUGAAAAAAUAUUAUUGUCUCCUUAGCACUAAAAAAAACCAAAAAAGCCCCCCAAACUUUUGUCUGGUACCUGGUUUGGCAUAUAUGUGUUUUCAAAGUGAACAGAUGAUAUCAGAAGAGAGUAAUUAUUACAAAGGUGUGCCAGGUGAUGAACUUUUUUUCCUGGAGAAAUGCUGKGUGGUUUCUACUAGGAAUAUGUUAGAUUAAUCAGCUCUCAGUCCUGGAGAGAAAUCACAGUGGAAUACCCAAAGUGCUGUGUAGUCACGUGUAAAUCUCUGACAACCUGGAGGCACGGAUCAUUUGUUCAGUGUUCGGUUCCAACAACAAGCUCAUGCAGGAAAAUACCUUGUUUGCUUAUAAAAAGAUUGCAGCUGAAUAUAUAAUUGCUGAGAAUGGAGCAUGGGGAUCCCAGUGCUCCAGGAUGAGGAUCUGGAUCCUUUCUCUUAAUUUUGGGGGGGAAUAAGUCUGAAGUCAGUUUUGCCUGUGUGUAAACAAGGCUUCACAUUGCAUGUCUUGUGGGAAAGUAGUGAAAUGUUUUCUUUUGAAAGGUGCUCGGUGUAAAUGUCAUGUUCCUGGCUGGARCCCUUGCUGGGCCCACAGGCAAAGCCUAAUAUCAAAUGACUCCUGCAAUUUUCAGUCUGGGACGUCUCUUGAUCCGUGUGCACAGAGGAUGAGCAAUUUCUCCUUUCUGUGUUGGCUUCUUUGCCUCUUGGUGCAGAAGCUGUCCUGAAAAUGUGCCAGGAACCUCAGUCAUAGGUAAGCAGCAGAAAUUAUUUGAUCUAUGAAAGACUUAAUUCUGUUAAUAUUCAUAUAAAUUCCGCUAGAAAUACAGUUCAAAAGAAAACUCAAAGCAAUAGAUCAGAGAAGUAUUCAUCACUGAAUACAAGCCUUUGACUUGUUUUUAGAUUAAAAUAAUAGAAAUGUUACGCUUAAAACCAAAAUGUGAGACAAGUCCACRUGCACUGGAGAACUGAACAGCAUCCAGAGGAGGCAGCUUACACAGGAGCACAUUCAUUGUCAACAUCUGAUACUGAAAAGGUCAAUAGUUAAUUAAAUAAUCCAUCACCUUAGGAUAGAGAGCCRUCCUCACUUCUGACAAUCAAUGGCAGAAAUAUUAAAAGGUCAGAAAAUGAGUUACUAUAUAUUGUUUUUUCUUACUGUGUGUUAUAAAGAUGUGGCUUUGGUUGAGUGUUGUGGGCAUGAAGACAGGUGGGAAGAAAUAUUAGCUGUUGCCCAAAUAUUUUUUUAGAUGCUCUUUUACCAGGCUUCUUUAUGUGUGGGCUUCUGGAUCGAUGGGCCUCAAAGAUGUAGUAAACUUUUACAACGAAAAUUUAAGACUAUCUCACAGAAUUUAUAACAUUCUCUCUUUAAUUAUCAGAGUGUUUUCRGGAGUGUUUUUCUCCCGUGCUGCUUGAGGUUUGUACUGGGAUAAACUGGGUGAGAGUUCUGAUGUUCAGGUUUUGUUUAGGUAUAGGGUGCAGCUACUCUGGGAACCCAAGAGGCAGAUUUUUGGUGU